rnacentral:rRNA from 1 species
AAUGAACGCUGGCGGCAUGCCUAACACAUGCAAGUCGAGCGAACAGACGAGGAUCUUGCUCGUCUGACGUUAGCGGCGGACGGGUGAUGAACACGUGGAUAACCUACCUAUAAGACUGGGAUAACUACGGGGAACCUGAUCUAAUACCGGAUAAUAUAUUGAACCUCAGGGUUCAUUAGUGAAAGACGGUUUUGCUGUCACUUAUAGAUGGAUCCGCGUCGCAUGAGCUAGUUGGUAAGGUAACGGCUUACCAAGGCUACGAUGCGUAGCCGACCUGAGAGGGUGAUCGGCCACACUGGAACUGAGACACGGUCCAGACUCCUACGGGAGGCAGCAGUGGGGAAUCUUCCGCAAUGGGCGAAAGCCUGACGGAGCAAAGCCGCGUGAGUGAUGAAGGUCUUCGGAUCGUAAAGCUCUGUAAUUAGGGAAGAAGAAAAGUGUAAGUAACUAUGCACGUCUUGACGGUACCUAAAGAGAAAGCCACGGCUAACUACGUG